CCGCACAUGAUUCGGGUUUCGAGACGAUGAAACCGUGAUUAAAUUAAAUGGUUCGUUGUCGACGAAACCUGCAAAAUGUGCGG
rnacentral:pre_miRNA from 1 species